rfam:Setaria italica strain Yugu1 chromosome VI, whole genome shotgun sequence.
AGUAAAAUGAGGAGGUCAUAUGAUCUGAAUUGAAUGUUGAUACAUCCAUUCAUGGUCUUCAAAGUUCUCUGAUUGCU